GCAGAUAUGGCCGAGUGGUUAAGGCGACUGACUCGAAAUCAGUUUCCAUCUUGAAGCGUAGGUUCGAAUCCUACUAUCUGCG
rnacentral:tRNA from 1 species